rnacentral:rRNA from 1 species
UACGUAGGGUGCAAGCGUUGUCCGGAAUUAUUGGGCGUAAAGAGCUCGUAGGCGGUUUGUCGCGUCUGCUGUGAAAAUCCAGGGCUUAACCCUGGACCUGCAGUGGGUACGGGCAGACUAGAGUGCGGUAGGGGAGAUCGGAAUUCCUGGUGUAGCGGUGAAAUGCGCAGAUAUCAGGAGGAACACCGGUGGCGAAGGCGGUUCUCUGGGCAUGAUCUGACGCUGAGGAGCGAAAGUGUGGGGAGCGAACAGG